rnacentral:tRNA from 1 species
GUCAGGAUGGCCGAGCGGUCUAAGGCGCCAGACUCAAGAAUAAUAUCUUGGUCCUCCUAAAAAGGAUGCUUAGAAUUCUGGUCCUCAACAGAGGGCGUGGGUUCAAAUCCCACUUCUGACA